rnacentral:lncRNA from 1 species
GAAUAUUCGUUUGGUCGUAGAAUAUUCGUACUGUCGGGGAAUAUUCGUACGACGGCGCAGCCAUGUGUGGGCCCCAUAACGGAAAGCGAUUGGAGAAAGAAAACAACAAAUAUAAGUUGUUUAAAAAUAACGGCGUAAUUGUUACCGUUUACACUAUUGGAAUACCCAGUGGUUAAAACACAGUAAUACGCGUUGUUACACAGUAGCACACGGUAUUGCACCAAUUAUUGACUCUUACGUAAGAAGGCACUACUCAAUAAUGGUUACAGUAAUUACUGUUCAGUAUUUUAUUUUAU